rnacentral:rRNA from 1 species
CCUACGGGGGUCAGCAGUAGGGAAUUUUCGUCAAUGGGCGCAAGCCUGAACGAGCAAUGCCGCGUGAACGAGGAAGGUCUUCGGAUCGUAAAGUUCUGUUGCAGGGGAAAAAGAGCGGAGAGAGGAAAUGGUCUCCGAUUGAUAUUACCCUUCGAGGAAGUCACGGCUAACUACGUGCCAGCAGCCGCGGUAAUACGUAGGUGGCGAGCGUUAUCCGGAAUGAUUGGGCGUAAAGGGUGCGUAGGCGGCCUGCUAAGUCUGGAGUGAAAGGUACCGGCUCAACCGGUACAGGCUCUGGAAACUGGCGGGCUAGAGAGCAGGAGAGGGCGGUGGAACUCAAUGUGUAGCGGUAAAAUGCGUAGAUAUAUGGAAGAACACCAGUGGCGAAGGCGGCCGCCUGGCCUGUUACUGACGCUGAGGCACGAAAGCGUGGGGAGCAAAUAGGAUUAGAUACCCGGGUAGUC